CGAGCCCCACAGUCCCCUUCAGCGACGAACGAUCGCAGACUCACUCCCUUCGUCCGAUCAGAGGAUUGUCAAGUGACAAUAAGAAAUGAAGGUCACACAUCAAUAUUAAUUCCUUUGAGAUAGGCAGCAGUCAUUUCCUCGUGAGACAUAUAGUCGAGCAAAUCAUUAAGUACACGAUUUCAUGAAAAAUUAAAUUAAUCGUUUGUUCCUCGGAUUCUUAUAUCGAAAUUUGCGCUUAAUACCUUUAGAUACAAAAAUACCAGCGAAUGCACUCAAUCAGCAUUCCCUACAUAACCUCUUAAUUUCCCAUACGGUUAAUCAGCUAUACAACGCUGCUGGCAAAUUAGUUUAUAAAUAACCCUAGUCGUACGACUUGAUGCUGAGACGAGAUCUUCGACUAAUUAAUAGUUGCGCGAUAGCAUAACGAAUAGCGAAUUCACUAAACGUAAGCUUAUAUUCAAUAUUCGUUAAUCAAUUUACUUAUAGUUGUUUUACAAUUUAAGGAAUUUUGUAACUUGCUAUUUGGAUUAAUCAUUGGAAUAAAGUUCACAAAAUCGGACGAAUUUUCUCUGCUAUCGGCAACAUUUUUACAAAAUUCGUUUAUAUUGGAGUUAAACGAUGUCGACCAGAGCGUCUAAAGCAGGAUCCGGCAUGACUUUGGCUAGUGUCC